GUUAAGCGACUAAGCGUACACGGUGGAUGCCCUGGCAGUCAGAGGCGAUGAAGGACGUGCUAAUCUGCGAUAAGCGUCGGUAAGGUGAUAUGAACCGUUAUAACCGGCGAUUUCCGAAUGGGGAAACCCAGUGUGAUUCGUCACACUAUCAUUAACUGAAUCCAUAGGUUAAUGAGGCGAACCGGGGGAACUGAAACAUCUAAGUACCCCGAGGAAAAGAAAUCAACCGAGAUUCCCCCAGUAGCGGCGAGCGAACGGGGAGCAGCCCAGAGCCUGAAUCAGUGUGUGUGUUAGUGGAAGCGUCUGGAAAGGCGUGCGAUACAGGGUGACAGCCCCGUACACAAAAAUGCACAUAUUGUGAGCUCGAUGAGUAGGGCGGGACACGUGGUAUCCUGUCUGAAUAUGGGGGGACCAUCCUCCAAGGCUAAAUACUCCUGACUGACCGAUAGUGAACCAGUACCGUGAGGGAAAGGCGAAAAGAACCCCGGCGAGGGGAGUGAAAAAGAACCUGAAACCGUGUACGUACAAGCAGUGGGAGCACGCUUAGGCGUGUGACUGCGUACCUUUUGUAUAAUGGGUCAGCGACUUAUAUUCUGUAGCAAGGUUAACCGAAUAGGGGAGCCGAAGGGAAACCGAGUCUUAACUGGGCGUUAAGUUGCAGGGUAUAGACCCGAAACCCGGUGAUCUAGCCAUGGGCAGGUUGAAGGUUGGGUAACACUAACUGGAGGACCGAACCGACUAAUGUUGAAAAAUUAGCGGAUGACUUGUGGCUGGGGGUGAAAGGCCAAUCAAACCGGGAGAUAGCUGGUUCUCCCCGAAAGCUAUUUAGGUAGCGCCUCGUGAAUUCAUCUCCGGGGGUAGAGCACUGUUUCGGCAAGGGGGUCAUCCCGACUUACCAACCCGAUGCAAACUGCGAAUACCGGAGAAUGUUAUCACGGGAGACACACGGCGGGUGCUAACGUCCGUCGUGAAGAGGGAAACAACCCAGACCGCCAGCUAAGGUCCCAAAGUCAUGGUUAAGUGGGAAACGAUGUGGGAAGGCCCAGACAGCCAGGAUGUUGGCUUAGAAGCAGCCAUCAUUUAAAGAAAGCGUAAUAGCUCACUGGUCGAGUCGGCCUGCGCGGAAGAUGUAACGGGGCUAAACCAUGCACCGAAGCUGCGGCAGCGACACUAUGUGUUGUUGGGUAGGGGAGCGUUCUGUAAGCCUGUGAAGGUGUGCUGUGAGG
rnacentral:rRNA from 1 species